UUAAUACAAUAACGGAGGAAAAGAAACCACCAGGGAUUGCCCCAGUAACGGCGAGUGAAGCGGCAAUAGCUCAAAUUUGAAAUCUGGCUCCUUUGGGGCCCGAGUUGUAAUUUGGAGAGGGUGCUUUGGUGUUGGCAGCAGCCUAAGUUCCUUGGAACAGGUCAUCAUAGAGGGUGAGAAUCCCGUAUGUGGCUGAUUGUCUUCACCGUGUAAAGCCCCUUCGACGAGUCGAGUUGUUUGGGAAUGCAGCUCUAAAUGGGAGGUAAAUUUCUUCUAAAGCUAAAUACUGGCCAGAGACCGAUAGCGCACAAGUAGAGUGAUCGAAAGAUGAAAAGCACUUUGGAAAGAGAGUCAAAAAGCACGUGAAAUUGUUGAAAGGGAAGCGCUUGCAGCCAGACGUGCCUGUAGUUGCUCAUCUGGGGAUUUCCCCAGUGCACUCUUCUAUGGGCAGGCCAGCAUCAGUCCGGGCGGUUGGAGAAAGGCCUGUGUCACGUAGCUGCUUUCGGGCAGUGUUAUAGGGCAGGUGGAAUACGACCAGCCUGGACUGAGGUCCGCGCAUCUGCUAGGAUGCUGGCGUAAUGGCUGUAAGCGGCCCGUCUUGAAACACGGACCAAGGAGUCUAACAUCUAUGCGAGUGUUUGGGUGUCAAGCCCGAGCGCGCAAUGAAAGUGAACGGAGGUGGGAACCCUUGGGUGCACCAUCGACCGAUCCUGAUGUCUUCGGAUGGAUUUGAGUAAGAGCAUAGCUGUUGGGACCCGAAAGAUGGUGAACUAUGCCUGAAUAGGGUGAAGCCAGAGGAAACUCUGGUGGAGGCUCGCAGCGGUUCUGACGUGCAAAUCGAUCGUCAAAUUUGGGCAUAGGGGCGAAAGACUAAUCGAACUAUCUAUAGUGUCGCCCAC
rnacentral:rRNA from 1 species